UACGGAGGGUGCUAGCGUUGUUCGGAAAUACUGGGCGUAAAGCGCACGUAGGCGGUGCAGCAAGUCAGGGGUGAAAUCCCGGGGCUCAACCCCGGAACUGCCCUUGAAACUGCAGUGCUAGAAUUCUGGAGAGGCGAGUGGAAUUCCGAGUGUAGCGGUGAAAUUCGUAGAUAUUCGGAAGAACACCAGUGGCGAAGGCGACUCGCUGGACAGACAUUGACGCUGAGGUGCGAAAGCGUGGGGAGCAAACAGG
rnacentral:rRNA from 1 species